rnacentral:rRNA from 1 species
ACGCUGCGGCAGCUAAACACAUGCAAGUCGACGUACAGGAGCAGCUGCUGCUUUGCUGAGGUGGCGGACGGGUGUAUGUCUGGGAACUGCCUGAUGGAGGGGGAUAACUACUGGAAACGGUAGCUAAUACCGCAUAACGUCGCAGGACCAAAGAGGGGGACCUUCGGCCUCUUGCCAUCGGAUGUGCCCAGAUGGGAUUAGCUAGUAGGUGGGGUAACGGCUCACCUAGGCGACGAUCCCUAGCUGGUCUGAGAGGAUGACCAGCCACACUGGAACUGAGACACGGUCCAGACUCCUACGGGAGGCAGCAGUGGGGAAUAUUGCACAAUGGGCGCAAGCCUGAUGCAGCCAUGCCGCGUGUAUGAAGAAGGCCUUCGGGUUGUAAAGUACUUUCAGCGGGGAGGAAGGCGAUAAGGUUAAUAACCUUGUCGAUUGACGUUACCCGCAGAAGAAGCACCGGC